UGUUGCGCUUGGCGGUUCCUUUCGGUUGGUUCGCGCCAAAAGUGAGCGCCAAAUGCCAAACUUUUGAGCGGGCCACUUGGACUCGAUUUUGCGAAAACGGCAGCAACAACACCGUGCGAUAUUGCUUAGGCUUCCUGACACUCCAGGAGGACAUGGAGGACGGUCAGUCUCUCCCCACAUCUACCGCAGAUUGGAGGUUCAUUUCCAGUCAGUACGUGGCGGCGGAAGCUGCGAGGCAGGUGGCCUGACUCGAACAGUCACGGGCGACAGCUGACCUGGCCGAGCGCCACUCUCAAGAACUAGUCUGCUUAUGCCGAGAAUGGGCUGCAACACUGAAUCGAUCAUGCGCUGCGAGGGAUUCUCCUUCACGGUGGAAAUCACCGGGCUAAAGAAAGUCCAGUGGAGUCGCAGUCUCCCCGCCAGCCCCCUAGUGCAUGCCAUCGACCAUGUCUGCCGAGCUCGCCGUGGUUGACUGGUUUGCUGAAGAGGAUGGCCUAGGUCUGGACCUGGAUCUCGAUCCGGGUCGUGUCCCCAGUGUCCUGGAGCCGGACCGGGAUAAGGAUCUGGUGGUGGAUAGAGACCUUGUCUUCGAUCUGGAGCGUCGUUCCCUUGCGUUUGGGAGGCCAGGCCUUCUAUGAGACUCUGCCCUGUCUUCUCUUGAGGGAAUAUCUGUUUUGGAGCGCAGCUCUUAGGCGCCUGCUCCUGCGGUGAGUGUCGGUGGCAUAACCGAGUGGACGAGCACAGCGAAACAUGAAAGAGCAAACGCAAAGCAGGAGAUGAAGGACGCAAGCCGCAAACGGUGAAGACCAAGGAGAGUGGCCCCUUCAGUGACGGGCGUGCGAGAAACUGGUGUCAUGCGGACCAGCUUGACAGCUCGAUGCGUACU